UGGAUUUCUACUGCCUGGGCCAGAUGAGAACCAGGAGGCCAGGCACAACUGCCCACUGUUCUGAGAGGCAGAGAAACUCUCCAGCAAAGGAAAGGGAUUAUUUUCCUACUCUCAUUUUCUUGACAGAACUUUGGACAAGCAGGGCAAAAGCCUGAAUACCUACGGGUGUUAUGAUACUGCUGCAGACAAAAUUCUCUGCAUACAUUCAGACGUGGAAACAAUACUUCAGGACAUGGUUGCAUGCAUAAAUAUGAACAGUCAGCAUCCCUGGAGGAAUCUCAAAGCCCUGGACAAGCAUCGAUUAACCAGGGCACAACACAGGGAGAAGACCACUCACAGAAAAACAGGUACCCAUGGGAGUUGGC
rnacentral:lncRNA from 1 species